CCGGGAAAACUGUGGCUGUGUAGGUUGAUCGAGAGCAAGGAGUUGCAAAGAUUUUCGCGCCUCUCCGUUGCUGAAUGGCGGAGUGGUGGAAUAGCGGCUUGGUGGCGUCUUGCGGGGGUAUAUAAGGCGGCCCACUGGCGGCCGCAAGCCAUAAGCAAAGUGAAUUUUCAAGUGUGUGAAAUUAAAAGUGGGUAAAGGAAAAGUUUGUCAUGUUAAUGCUAAUGCUAAUGAGCUCUUGUUGCAGCUUCAACAUAGCUUUAGCGUGCACCUUAAAUACCUUUUGUGUGUUUUUCUGGCCACUUGCAACUGCAGUGGCUCGCGAAGGGACCAACGAACGCUUCGAGGCAGAAUCCACUGAGAGGCGGUACAACCACAGGGCGUCUCAACUCGUGGCAUCUGAGGCGCGAGUCGCCACUAUUGGACAACGGCGCUUUUAAGCGCCACCCAAAGAGAAUCGUAUAAAAGCGUCGUCGAAGCCAGACGAGCCAUCCAUCGGCCAGACGCAGAGGAAAGGCCGCAGCUUCCGGAUUUUCCACCGGACGCCGCUUCUUCGGCAUGCGGUAGCCUCGUAUGGAAGCGCUUUCAACGUAGGAUGCGGCACUGGUAAUGAAGUGAGUCAAACUUAUAAAAUCUAAACAAUUUAACUCUAAAUAAGCGAGCGCGAAACAGAGAAAUUUUGCGAGUCAAAUAUUAGGCAAAGCGCACAGGCGCAAUGCAUCGCGACAACUAAAAGCGAAGCAAAGAAGAGAUAAGAACAUAGCGCGCUAACAUCCCUCCCUUUCCCCUCGCCGCCACUCGGGCGCAUGAGCAGCGGCAUCAGCGCUCGCUAGCAAUCGCGCAUGCGCGCCUGGUGGUUUUGUCUCGGCCUGCUGACGAAGUUUUCGUUCUAGCGGAUGCACAUAUGUUUUUGUUUUGGUUUCGAUUUAAUUGGUUUUAUAUGUUUGGCAGCUCGGCCUGCAGUCGCAUAAGCGAAAUUAGAGGAUUACGAUUUGCGAAUGCAAUCUAGGGCACAACCAAUUAAGAAUUUAUUUUAAUUUAAUGUUUAAAUGUUAGUUGGUA